rnacentral:rRNA from 1 species
UACGAGAGGCCCAAACGUUAUUCGGAUUUACUGGGCUUAAAGAGUUCGUAGGCGGCGCGGAAAGUAGGGUGUGAAAGCCCUCGGCUCAACCGAGGAAUUGCGCUCUAAACUACCGUGCUUGAGGAAGCUAGAGGUGAGCGGAACUGAUGGUGGAGCGGUGAAAUGCGUUGAUAUCAUCAGGAACACCGGAGGCGAAGGCGGCUCACUGGACCGGUACUGACGCUGAGGCGCGAAAGCGUGGGGAGCAAACGGG